AGAGUUUGAUCCUGGCUCAGGAUGAACGCUGGCGGCGUGCUUAACACAUGCAAGUCGAACGAUCCUUCGGGAUAGUGGCGGACGGGUGAGUAACGCGUGGGAAUCUGCCCUCAGGAGGGGGAUAACGGCUGGGAACGGCCGCUAAUACCCCAUAUGCCGAGAGGUGAAAUGAAUUUCGCCUGAGGAUGAGCCCGCGUCUGAUUAGCUAGUAGGUGGGGUAAAGGCCUACCAAGGCAACGAUCAGUAGCUGGUCUGAGAGGAUGAUCAGCCACACUGGGACUGAGACACGGCCCAGACUCCUACGGGAGGCAGCAGUGGGGAAUUCUCCGCAAUGGGCGAAAGCCUGACGGAGCAACGCCGCGUGAGGGAUGAAGGCCUCUGGGCUGUAAACCUCUUUUCUCAAGGAAGAAGACCUGACGGUACUUGAGGAAUAAGCCACGGCUAAUUCCGUGCCAGCAGCCGCGGUAAUACGGGAGUGGCAAGCGUUAUCCGGAAUUAUUGGGCGUAAAGCGUCCGCAGGCGGCCUUGUAAGUCUGUUGUUAAAGCGUGGAGCUCAACUCCAUUUAAGCAAUGGAAACUACAAGGCUGGAGUGUGGUAGGGGCAGAGGGAAUUCCCGGUGUAGCGGUGAAAUGCGUAGAUAUCGGGAAGAACACCAGUGGCGAAGGCGCUCUGCUGGGCCAUAACUGACGCUCAUGGACGAAAGCCAGGGGAGCGAAAGGGAUUAGAUACCCCUGUAGUCCUGGCCGUAAACGAUGAACACUAGGUGUCGGGGGAAUCGACCCCCUCGGUGUCGUAGCCAACGCGUUAAGUGUUCCGCCUGGGGAGUACGCACGCAAGUGUGAAACUCAAAGGAAUUGACGGGGGCCCGCACAAGCGGUGGAGUAUGUGGUUUAAUUCGAUGCAACGCGAAGAACCUUACCAGGGUUUGACAUCCUGCGAACCCCUGAGAAAUCGGGGGGUGUCUUCGGGAGCGCAGAGACAGGUGGUGCAUGGCUGUCGUCAGCUCGUGUCGUGAGAUGUUGGGUUAAGUCCCGCAACGAGCGCAACCCACGUCUUUAGUUGCCAGCAUUCAGUUGGGCACUCUAGAGAGACCGCCGGUGAUAAACCGGAGGAAGGUGUGGAUGACGUCAAGUCAUCAUGCCCCUUACAUCCUGGGCUACACACGUACUACAAUGCUACGGACAAAGGGCAGCAAGCUCGCGAGAGUUAGCAAAUCCCAUAAACCGUGGCUCAGUUCAGAUCGUAGGCUGCAACUCGCCUACGUGAAGGAGGAAUCGCUAGUAAUCGCAGGUCAGCAUACUGCGGUGAAUACGUUCCCGGGCCUUGUACACACCGCCCGUCACACCAUGGAAGUUGGCCAUGCCCGAAGUCGUUACUCCAACCCUUGUGGAGGAGGACGCCGAAGGUGGGGCUGAUGACUGGGGUGAAGUCGUAACAAGGUA
rnacentral:rRNA from 1 species